AAUAGUUGACGGUGGGGGCAACCCUGUUCCAACCUUCCAGCAUGUGUGAAGUAAGACUUAGGUUUGUAAACCACUGUAAUUUGUUAGGCAGUGCUUUAGGUGUAUUGUACGAAUCUUUCACUCUACCAGCACAUCAAGCUCCAGAUAACUGUAUGCCAGCCUCCGCGGUAAUACAGAGGGUGCAAGCGUUAAUCGGAAUUACUGGGCGUAAAGCGCGCGUAGGUGGUUCAGUAAGAUGGGUGUGACAUCCCCGGGCUUAACCUGGGAACUUCUUUCAUAACUGCUGAGCUAGAGUACGGUAGAGUGUAGUGGAAUUUCCUGUGUAGCGGUGAAAUGCGUAGAUAUAGGAAGGAACACCAGUGGCGAAGGCGACUACCUGGACGGAUACUGACACUGAGGUGCGAAAGCGUGGGGAGCAAAC
rnacentral:rRNA from 1 species